UGUCUCGAAUCGUUUCCUUCGGUCUCAUUUUUCUACUUUUGUUGGGCUGACACGCUGUGCGUGAACACAAGAAUCAGUGUCGCUUGCUUGAGUGUUCAGCUCAAAGGAGCUUACUAAGUGGAGAGUAAGACAAGAUCCGCCAUGCGAUUCCACUCCUACAGUAAUGCUCCAGUAUCUCGUAAUCCACCCUGAAGAAUCUUACUUAUCUCCCAGGAUGAAUGCAGGUUGUCCUGGUGAUGAUACGUUUCUCCAUUUUAAGUGAUGUUUCCUAAUCUCAUUGCUGGAUGCCCACUGACUGAUCUGCCCAGUCAAUCUUCUGGAAAGAAUCUAAAGUGAGCCAGUAAUGGUGAACCCACUGGGGAAGCUGGGAGAGAGGAUGGAGUACUUGUUCCAUAAAGAACUGUCUGAGGAGCAGUUGGUUCAUGUAUACCUCAGAAAACCCAGUGUUAAAAGGUACUAUUACCAAUAAUAUGCUGUUGGUUUAAGGAUCCAUGGAUUUGGGAUUUGAGGUAAAUACUUUUGCAAUACCUAUCUGAACUCAGGUACGGUUCAGAAUGUCUUAACUGGAAAAGAAAAAUCAUUACAAUUGUAUAUAUAUUAGCACUUACAGAUGGCUGUUUCUGAAACAAUACUGAUAAAUUCCUGCUCACAGUGAUGAGUUACAUACCGCCCCAGUCUGAUUACUGUGACCGAAAGGUAUUUUCUGAGUUGGUGAGCUAACUAUAGGAAGUUCUAACCAUAGGAAGUUUUCCAGAAUGGUGGCUUCCACAAAAUGUGAGACAUGCUCUAUAUAUAAAUGUGUUUUUGCUCUAAGGAGCAUGGAUAGUAGAUUUAAUUUCCAAUCUGUUUUGUAGGGAAACUGAGCCAUGUCUUUGCUCAACUCCAGCCAGCAGUUAGAGGUCUAAAGAAACUGCAAGGUGCAUAUAAAUGCAAUCAAUCAUGUUUUGAAGACUGGAUAAUAUCAAAAGGAGAAUUUUCAGACCUUACAUAACCUAGCUGUUCAAGUUAACAUACUGUCAUUUUAAAUUUUGUAAUAAAACUUUUUAA